CGGCCCUGCCUAUUCCGGCCCAAUGAUCAGACCUCCUCUAAAUUCAGCCUUAAUCUCAUCUUCCAGCCCAGCCCAGAAAAAGGAAGGUGGCCAGCCCACCCAUCUGGUGGGACCCUCCGCAUGCGCGCCAGAAGAGAAUUAAGUGGCCGUUACGCAUGAAGCAGAAUAUCUGAUAUUCUCGUACGACCGUAUCAGAAUGGCAGGGACAGGUGGCUCAAUGGUGGUAAAGCCGUUACACGUCACUGACAGAUAAAAGAAAAAGAUAAAAGGGGAUGAACACUCUCCUCUCGAACUAAGCUUAGAGAACACUUUGUAAACCCUAUUUUCUGGAUCUCAGAUCAUCAAUUGGCGCCGUCUGUGGGAAACGAAGGAGAUCUUUUCAUCGCCGAAGUUCCACUCUUACAAAACCCACUGAGAUCCACGAUGGCUAAUCAUAAUGAAAACAACCUUGCAAACACUCCCAAUGACCUGAGUUCUGUCCAAGAGGGGCAGCAGUUCUCUUUCUCUAGCCCCACAACCCCAAACAACCAAACAACAAUCCCUUUCAACCCCUCACCGAGUUUGGCAGGGAAUGCACUCGGAGCUGCCUUAUCCAACCAGGAUCUCCAAGUCAUGGCCCUUCAACUACAAAACACCGCCCACUGGCUAGGGCAGAUGAUACAACAGAGGGGCCUUAGCACCCCAAUGAAUGUGACGCCGGUAGUAGAAAAACUCCGAACCAAUGAACCCCAGCUAGGGGUGAGCAUUCGGUCAGUUCGGUUCAAAACCGAACCGAACCGAAUAAAUCAAAAAUCGAAAUUUUAGUGUUUAUGAAAACCGAAUCGAACCGAUUUUGGUUAGAAACCGAAUCGAACCGAACCGGUUCGAUUCGGUUCGGUUUGAUCGAUUUCGAUUUUUAAUAAUUUUUUUAUUUUUUACACUUUAUUUUUAAUAUUUUAAAAUUUAAUUAAAAUAUUUUAAUUUUAAUAUGAUUUAAUUUCUCUAUAUUAUUGAAAAAAAAUAUUAUUAUCACUAAUCGGUUUGGUUCGGUUUUUUCGGUUUUUUCUGAUCAAAACCGAACCGAACCGAAAUAACUAAAAUUUUUUAAAUUAAAAAUCGAACCGAAUCGAAAUUUAUAAAAAACCGAACCAAAUUUUCAAAUCGGUUCGGUUCGUUCGAUUUUUUCGGUUUGAACCGAAUAUUGCUCACCCCUAACCCCAACCCACCUUCAACCACCCACAAGCUAUCAGCCGAGAAACCGGAGAAAGGGGGCGAAGAACAGAAGGAGAAGAUGAACCAGAAGCUAGAGUUCAUGGAAGAAGAGUGAGGGAGCUGAUAGAAAAUAACGAGGCAGACAGUUAUUCUGCCAGAACAACUAGGAGGACAGAGAGUGGGGCGCAGGAAGAGUAUCGUCUGGAGAAGAGGCCCAGACAAGAAGAAGAAAAUGUAGAUCAAAAACUGCAGAAGCUGAGGGAACAACUCCUGGCUGAGUUAGGAGCGAAAGACCAUAGCCAGACUCUCUUGCCCACCUCUUCACCCUUCUCAAAGUGGGUGCAGCAGGAGACUGUCCCCAAGAAGUUUAUGAUGCCACUUAUGGCAGCGUAUGAUGGAGCCGGGAACCCCAGGGAGCACGUCUUGAAUUAUAAGACUUUCAUGGAGUUGCAGACUUUAUCAGAUGCCUUGAUGUGCAAGGUAUUCCCAACGACGCUUACGGGGCCGGCACGGGCGUGGUUUAAUAGCUUGGAGGCUGGGAGUAUCAGGAGCUUCGGGGAUUUGGCCAACGCCUUCAUCAGUCGGUUCAUAGCCGGAGUACCAGCAGAUAGAAAGACUGGCUAUCUGGAGACAGUCAGACAGAAAAGGGACGAGUCGCUGAGGGAUUAUGUUGCCCGUUUUAAUACGGAGGCUCUACAGAUUCCCAAUCUGGAUGAGGGGAGAGCGGUGGAGGCCAUGCAGAAGGGGACGACCUCCGCCGAAUUUUUAGGCUCGUUGAGCAGAAAGCCCCCCACCACGCUGGCAGAACUGAUGAAGAGGGCAGAGAAAUAUAUAAGGCAAUAUGACGCCUUAAUGACGAGUAGAUUCGCCAAAUGGGUAGAAGACAAAGGAAAAGCCCCCAAAGAAAGGAGAUCAGAGAGGCAUGAGAAGAAGCAGGCCAAGAAACCUGAGCCCUACCGGCAGCCCUGGGACCGGAGAGACCAGAGACUUUUCCCUCCUCGGGUUCCAGAACAAAAGCCAUUCCCUUCGCGUAUUCCGGAGAACCUGACCCCGCUCAAUGCAUCCAGAGCCGAGGUGCUCAUGGCAGUUUAGGAUAAGGAGUUCCUACAAUGGCCCAGGCCUAUGAGGGCAGAAGCAGACCAGCGAAAUCCUGACAAGUAUUGUCAGUAUCAUCGCACCCAUGGCCAUGACACCAAUAACUGCUACCAGCUGAUCAGUGAAAUUGAAAGGCUGAUAAAGAGGGGACAUCUCAGGAACUUUGUGAAGAAGCCGGAGGGGCAGAGGCCUCAACCGAACCCAGCAGCACAAGCACCCAGGAGGACGAGAACAGGACCUGUGAAUGAUGGCUCCAGCGGAACCAUCAACAUGAUCGUUGGGGGGAACUGGAGGUCGGAUGAGCCGGAGGGGAAGGAAGAGAGGCCGAGAUGGGGAAAGCAGCAGUGCCGAAGUCAUGCAGGUAGUUGAGCACUCUCCAGCAACUAUCACCUUCUCCCUAGAGGAUGCCCAGGGUGUUCAGAUGCCUCAUGAUGACGCCCUCGUUAUUGAAGCCGUCAUCCACAACUACUGGGUUAAGAAGAUUUUGGUGGAUGACGGGAGUAAGGUGAACUUGCCGCCAUACUGGAUCUUCCAGCAGAUGGGAAUCCCUGAGGAGCAAUUGGUUCGGGACCAAGCCCCAGUCAAAGGGAUCGGGGGAGUCCCAGUACCUGUGGAGGGGAAAGUAAAGCUGGCCCUCACUCUAGGAGAAGCGCCAAGGACUCGCACUCAUUAUGCGGUGUUCUUAGUAGUCAAACUCCCCCUGAGCUACAACGCAAUACUGGGACGACCUGCGCUGUUCGACUUUGAGGCUGUAACCAACAUCAGGUAUCUGGCUAUGAAAUUCCCUUCAGAAUAGCAAAAGUGGUCAAGCCGGGGGUAUAUCGAAUUGAGGACAUGCAAGGAAACCCUGAGCCUCAUGCUUGAAAUAUCCAGCAUUUGAAACGGUACUUUCCCUGAGAUGUUAUCAAAUGUAAAAAGAUCGAUUGUAUUUUAAAAGCAUGAUAAUAAAAUAGACGUUGUCAUCGUCCAACAUUUUUUACUGACGUUGCUUUCAUGAAAGAAACAAAAGAGAAAACUAAAACAGGCACCAAGGCCCAAAGCCUCAGGGAGAUAAGUGACCGGGAUCCCCAAGAUCUCCCGGCGCCGUAAUGCCGAACUAAGGUGAUAAGACCGGGAUCCCCAAGAUCUCCCGGCACCACAAGACUGGGAUCCCCAAGAUAUUCCGACACCAAAAACCGAGCUGAGAAGACAAAAGUAAUGUAAAGACAGAAGUGCCGACCUAAGACACGCAAAUAUGAGCCCGGAAAAGCAAGCAAGAAAAAGGCCGAACUCAGCAAACUACAAGCCUCCUAUGAUCCAGGAGGAAACCUAAAGCAUGAGCAGACAAGGCCCCAGCCUCAAUCCCUAUCAGAGCAGAACUAAAAACAAAAGGGCUAGCUCUGCUCAUCACCUGAAAAGGUGCAUGAUCUAUUUCACUUUGGUUAUAUGAAUGUUGUACAUUUGAACUCGCACUGUGGACGAGUCAACAGAACAGAAAAUAAUAAGAACGCUUGUACGAAGUUAUAGAAACUCAUGAAUUGGAAGUAUAGUCAAUUGUUAAAAAUCGAACUCAUAGGUGACGACUUGAUAUGGUUGAAUCCUGUGAAAGAUUAGAUAAACAUGUAGCUUAAAGGUUUUUAUCUUUAAGGUAAAGCCAGCUCGGAAAAGGCUUGCAGAUAGGAAUGCCUUGGUGAGAUUGGAAAAUUUUAUAAGUUAAAAGUUUAGUCAAUUGACAGAAUUUCAGCUCUGAUUGGCUUGAGGGCAAAAGAGAAAAAACAGUAUAGUUGAUUCCUUAGAAAAAUUAUGAAGCACAUGGUUUAAGUGUUUCAUUCUUAAUAUAUAUGGCUUAAGUAUUUUAUCCUUGACAUUUUAGGCUUUUUUAUAGCAUAAGCAGUUCGGUAAAGCCUGAAUAGCAAACAAAAAUAGAAACAAUUCAAAUAUAGAUACAAGUAAAAGUCAAAUUUCAUUGAAUAAAGUUACAAUUACAACCUACUCUACUGAAGGGAAAACUGUCCUUAAGGGACUUACAUGCCUAGGUAUAUCUACAUUGUUAUCUUCUAUACUACUAUUUACAAAGGGUACCAUUUCCCCCCAGUGGGGCCCUACUUCUUCACCCCUUUGAGGCUCAGCGUCUUUGUCCUCCUGCCCCGGCUCGGCAGCUGCCUCAGAAGGCCCAACUGCAGUACGAGAAGCUCCUUUAGGCAAGGGUCUGUCAUCCUCCCCGUAUAGCACCUCCUCGCUGUCAGAGUCCUCCUCAGCAGCUCGGAGUUCAGCCAACGGGGUGGAGGGGGCAUAUCUGGCAGUCCUUAGGCCUCGAUUGUAUCCAGAGACGAACAUGCGGAAGCUCUUAUUCCAUAUAGUAGUCUUCAUCUCGCCAGAGCCUUUGAAUUCCGCAAGUCGCUCCUUGCAGGCCUCAGCUAUCUUGGUCUUUAGCUCCGAAGAGUCCUUAUAAUCUUGGAGAUAAGCUUCACAGGCCUGCUGGAUCUCCCUUUUGAGCUCAGCCGACUCCUUGUACUCCCUUAAGCGCUCCUCGCACUCCAGCUGGACUCUAUCCUCAGCAUGCUUGGCAUCCUCGAGCAAGGCCGCACACCUUUUCUUAAGAACCUCGACCUCCUGGCAGAGAUGCUGGUUUUGAAGUUUAGACGUCUCUACUGCCAGGGCUAGGUCUCUCUCAUUAUCAGCCCGCUUAGCCAGUUCUUGCUACCACCCGGGCCAAGGCUUCUUCUUUCUGCGCCAGCACAGCAUCAAAAUCUGCCUUCAAUAGCUCGUGCUGGUGCCGGGCCUCAUCCUUCUGGCUCAAGGCCUCAUCCCUCUCUCGCCGGAUCUCCUCCAAGGAGGACAGCUGCUUCAAAGCCUCGUCGCGCUGAUCUUCUGCCUCAGCUGUCCUCCCAUCAGCCCUCUUGAGGGCCUCCCGCGCAGUAUGAAGUUCUAUCUGGAGGGACCUGGAAUGCUCUCGGGCAGCCGCGAGAUUGCCCCUGGCGUCGCUGGUUGCAGAAAGGUUCUCCUCCAGGCGUGCCUCUUCAAUCCGGCGAUCUACGGACUCCCGGAGAGAGUGGUCACGAGCGUCAACCUCCAUAAAGAGGCCCAUCACCUAGCACAAAGAAAAAACCGUUAAAACAAAGAAACAAAGAAAGCCAAAACGAAAACAAAAGGGACAACUUACCAUCAGGAGCAUCUCCCUGAUUCUAUCUCCGAGCUCCCCUCGAGGUCGAGACCGAAACACUGCUUGCUCUCGAGUAAAACCAGCCAAAAGGCCAGUCAGAGCAAGCAAACGAGGGUCCGAAGCCUCCGUGAUCCCACCGAACAUCCGCUCCCGCAAGAUCUCCGCUACAACGCUUGUUGGAGUUUGAUGAGUAAUAUCCUCCGCGUUCAGAAUGUCGUUGUCAGGAGCAGACAACAGGGGCACCACGGGAGCCUCUUUCUUCUUCUCGAGAGGGGGAAGAGCUGGAGCCGGUCUCCUGGAAGCCCGAGACUUCUUAGGGACGAGAACUGGGGCAGGCACUUCGACUGAAGCAGGACACUUGCCCCCGACCUUCUUUGCGACACCUCCACCAUCAGUGGGUCCGGGCCCCAUUCCAUCAGAAGCAGGGACAACCCCAAGAGGGGCCUCCUGGACACCUUCGGCCGCCGGGAUGACCUCCAUUCCUUCUUCUGGAGCCCUCUCCUCAGCGGCGGAGGUCUCAAGCCUCACCUCCGGAAUACCCUCAGAAGGAAGGACAGGAUCUGUCCUCGUCAGCUCAGUGCCCUCAACCGGACUAGAGAUGAUCCCUGGAGCCUCCUCCGUCCCUUCAUUAGAAGUCCAUCGAGACCGAGGGGCUUGGGAAUGCUGAGGAGCCAAGCUUGAUCUGCUGCGGCUGGAUGGCCAGGACGACUUGCUAUGUCGGGAGCUCGGUCUGGGAGCCCGAGAGGAGACCGGAGGAGGAGGAGGUUGGGUAGCCGACCUGGAAGAAAUGACUUCGGCCACCCUUUGAGUAGCCUCCCCCACGGAUUGCCCAGUCAGGAGGGCAUCCAGAGCAGCGUUCAUGCUCUCCCGGGACAAUAUAAGAUUCUUGGGAGGCUUGAUUUGGUCCAUUUUCACCUCAGAAGCUGCAAAGAUCCAAAAUCAUGGCAAGUUAGAGCAAUCCUCAACAAAAAUCACAAAAAUAAAGCAAAACGGGUAAAUGAAAUAGAGUACCCGCAUCCUGGAUAUCCUGGAGACUGGACACAAACAUACACUUCUCGACAUCAUAUUUCUUUUCGACAGAAGUCAGUCGAACAAACCCUACCUGCUCGGUAAGGCUCAACUGGGGCAGGUCGUUGCAACCCAACGAGACGUCUUCCCAGUCGAAUUCUACCCCCCAGGACAAACCGAGGUCUUCUUUCAACUCCACCACAACAAAGCCCUCUACCCAGCCUUUUAUUGAGUCCUUAUAGCCCGUGAAAAUGGAUAAGCCACCACGGGGGGCAAAGUAGUAGAAGCACUGACUUGCCCGGACGAGACGGAAAAAGGUCACGAACAGACACGCCGUGGGCGCAAACCCCCAGCUCAGACAAAUGGACUCGAAAGAACACAUAAAUAAAAUGGAGUUGGGAGAUAACAUUCGGGGGAUUUUCCUGAAGUAUUGGAAGGCCUCGGUGAAGAAGGGAGUGAAAGGAAAAGUUAAGCCAUAGUCUCGUUGUUUAAUAAAAAAGACUAGGCUAAGGUCUUUCUGUGGGUCUAUCAAACCGGGAGGGGGAGGAUCGGGAAGAACGAUCCUCUCAUUCCGGUAAGGAGCUCGGAUACGGUAAAGAGGGGUGUCCAAAUAUUUUCGGGAGAAGAAAUUUGUCAGAUUGGAAGGGGUGAUACUAGACUCUAGAUUAAAAACUUCAGGAAGCUUUGAGCCUUCCAUGGUGAAGAGAGAAGCGUACCUUGAAAUAAAGACAGGGAGACGAAGAUAGCAGUGCGCACGAAGAACAGAGGAAAGCAAGAACUUGGAGAAGACGGAGAGAAUUCGAAAUUCGAAAUGACAAUAAGGUGAAAAGAUGUUCUGAGGCAAGCUGUAUUUAGGCGGCGCGGUCAUAAUGAUUCUCGGUAUUUACUACCUCAUCAUUCGGGCAAUAACUGAUGAGAAGGUAAAGGGGCAAUUGAUGACCGCUGGAUUUCACUAUCCCGGUCUAAGGCCAGGCCCACGAUGACAGCCCAUGACCUGAAGGCUUCUAAGUCUCCCGUGUGAGUCAGGUCCAGCUCGCUCAGUCUUAAGACCGGACCCCAUUUAGAUUUUUCAAUCAGGCUGGCCCUGCCUAUUCCGGCCCAAUGAUCAGACCUCCUCUAAGCUCAACCUUAAUCUCAUCUUCCAGCCCAGCCCAGAAGAAGGAAGGUGGCCAGCCCACCCAUCUGGUGGGACCCUCCGCAUGCGCGCCAGAUGAGAAUUAAGUGGCCGUUACGCAUGAAGCAGAAUAUCUGAUAUUCUCGUACGACCGUAUCAGAAUGGCAGGGACAGGUGGCCCAAUGGCGGUAAGACCGUUACACGUCACUGACAGACAAAAGAAAAUGAUAAAAGGGAAGGAACACUCUCCUCUCAAGCUAAGCUUAGAGAACACUUUGUAAACCCUAUUUUCUGGAUCUCAGAUGCAACCACCAAAGCGGACAGCAACCUAUAAAUUGUCCAUCGUGCAACCAGUCACAUGGUCAUUUGUGUUCAUUACCACAAUCUGAAGAUCAAUCCAUGGCAUAAUAUCCGAAAGAAAAACACAAAUACCGACAAUACAAUCCACCACAGAUC
rnacentral:lncRNA from 1 species